AUUGAACGCUGGCGGCAGGCCUAACACAUGCAAGUCGAGCGGGGUUUUCGGACCUAGCGGCGGACGGGUGAGUAAUGCGUAGGAAGCUACCCGAUAGAGGGGGAUACCAGUUGGAAACGACUGUUAAUACCGCAUAAUGUCUACGGACCAAAUGGUGGGACCUUCGGGCCACAUGCUAUCGGAUGCGCCUACGUGGGAUUAGCUAGUUGGGGGGGUAAUGGCUCACCAAGGCGACGAUCCCUAGCUGGUUUGAGAGGAUGAUCAGCCACACUGGAACUGAGACACGGUCCAGACUCCUACGGGAGGCAGCAGUGGGGAAUAUUGGACAAUGGGCGCAAGCCUGAUCCAGCCAUGCCGCGUGUGUGAAGAAGGCCUUCGGGUUGUAAAGCACUUUCAGUAGGGAGGAAGGGUGUUGUGUUAAUAGCACAGCAUUUUGACGUUACCUACAGAAGAAGCACCGGCUAACUCUGUGCCAGCAGCCGCGGUAACAC
rnacentral:rRNA from 1 species